rnacentral:tRNA from 1 species
GGAGAGGUGGCUGAGUCUGGUUGAAGGCGCCCGCCUCGAAAGCGGAUGACUGGGAAACUGGUCCGCGGGUUCAAAUCCCGCUCUCUCCU